AGAGUUUGAUCCUGGCUCAAAGCGAACGCUGGCGGCGUGCCUAACACCUGCAAGUCGAACGUGAACGGGGGCAACCCCUAGUAAAGUGGCGUACGGGUGAGUAACGCGUAGGUAAUCUACCCCAGAAUCUGGAAUAACCUGCCGAAAGGCGGGCUAAUACUGGAUAGAGCGACGGAAUCCGUAAUUGGGUUUUUCGGGAAAGGGAGGCCGUAAGGUCCCUCGUUUUGGGAUGAGCCUGCGUCUCAUUAGCUAGUUGGUGGGGUAAUGGCCCACCAAGGCAUUGAUGGGUAGCUGGUCUGAGAGGAUGAUCAGCCACACUGGAACUGAAACACGGUCCAGACUCCUACGGGAGGCAGCAGUGGGGAAUCUUGCGCAAUGGACGAAAGUCUGACGCAGCCACGCCGCGUGAGUGAAGAAGGCCUUCGGGUUGUAAAGCUCUGUCGGGAGGGACGAAAAUUAUUAGGGUUAACAGCCCCUAGUAACUGACGGUACCUCCAAAGGAAGCACCGGCUAACUCCGUGCCAGCAGCCGCGGUAAUACGGAGGGUGCAUGCGUUGCUCGGAAAUUAUUGGGCGUAAAGGGUAAGUAGGUGGUCUCAUUUGUCUGGGGGUGAAAGCCUCGA
rnacentral:rRNA from 1 species